rnacentral:rRNA from 1 species
GAUGAACGCUGGCGGCGUGCCUAAUACAUGCAAGUAGAACGCUGAAGGAGGAGCUUGCUUCUCUGGAUGAGUUGCGAACGGGUGAGUAACGCGUAGGUAACCUGCCUUGUAGCGGGGGAUAACUAUUGGAAACGAUAGCUAAUACCGCGUAAGAUUAGAUGUUGCAUGACAUUUGCUUAAAAGGUGCAAUUGCAUCACUACCAGAUGCACCUGCGUUGUAUUAGCUAGUUGGUGUGGUAACGGCUCACCAAGGCGACGAUACAUAUCCGACCUGAGAGGGUGGACAGCCACACUGGGAAUGGGACACGGCCCAGACUCCUGCGGGAGGGAGCAGGAGGGAAACUUCGGCAAUGGACGGAAGGCUGACCGAGCAAAGCCGCGGGGGUGAAGAAGGUUUUCGGGUCGUAAAACUCUGUUGUAAGAGAAGGAAGAGAGUGAGAGUGAAAAGUUCACGCUGUGACGGUACCUUACCAGAAAGAGACGGCUAACUACGUG